ACAGAGGUUUUGUUCAGUUCACUACUGGAUUCCUAAUACUUGGAACAGUGCCUGGACAGAGUAGGUGCUUAAAACUUAUUUUUGAGUCAAUGGAUAAUUGACAUGGCUGGUUUGAACUUCUGGAUCUUUUGCUUUGCUUUCACACAAGGAUUACUUAUACCAAUACUUUAUUUUAAAAUCUCUGGAAAUGAGACCAUCUGAAAUCAGAUAAAUAUGGCUUCAGAUACCAGCUCUGGCACUACUAGUUGCAUGAUCAUCAAUAUGUUACUUCUCUGUGCCUUAGUUUCCACAUCUGAAAAUUGAGGGUAAGAGUCCCUCUCUAGAUUUGUGAAUGGGAUGAACACAGGAUUUUAAGUACGGUUAGCCAGCAUCCAAGAUGGCCUCAAUGAUCUCUGCCUCUGGUAUUUAUGCCCUUGAGUAAUCCCAUUCCACAUGUCUCGGGUUGGUCUGUGUGUCUUAUAGAAUAUGGCUUGAAGUGAGGUUAUGUGGCUUCUGAAGCUAUCACAAUGUCAUAAAGGACACUGUGACUUCUGUCUUGCUCCAUUUCUGGGGUCACUUGCACUAGAGGAAGUCAGCUACUAAAUUACAAAGAAAUUCCAGCAACCACAAGGAGAGGUCCACAAAGUGAGAGAUUGAACCCUCGAGCUAACAAGCAUGUGAGUGAGACAUGUUGGAAGUGGAUUCUCCAGCUCCAGUCAAGCCUUCAGAUGAAUGCAGCUCCAGCCAACAUCUCACUGCAGCUUUAUGAGAGCCUCUGAGCUGGAGCCACUAGGCCAAGCUGUUCCCAAAUUCCUGACUCUCAGAAACUUGUGCAUAGGAAGAAUCUGGGGACCUUGUGGAAAGUGCAGCUCCCAGACACCUGCCUCAACUGACUCUGUGGAUGUGGAGCGGGCCCUGCCACUCCCCAUUUUUAACCUACUGGGGAGAGAACGGGAGGCAAAACUACAAACCUGAAAAUAAAGUGGCUAAGUGGCUUCUCAAACUCUUUCCAAGUCUCUAAACACCGCUGAGUCUGGAUUGUCACUGUGCUCUACAGAGGAAACGAAGACCAAGAAUUAAGCAGCUCGAUUUUCCAGUGCAGACUGUUUGACCUUUGUGACUAGUAAACCACUCCUUUUAUUAAGGCCAAAUCUGCAAAAUCUGUCUUAAAGAAAAUGGUCAGUCUUUCCUUUCUUCUAAACAUCUCUGAUUUUUUCAUCUUGUUUCCUGACUAUUCACAGACAGCAACAAUAACAGAUUCUGGAAAGAAGGAUUUGUAAUGAGGAAAUCAAGGCAGUGAGAUAAAGCAACUUGCCUGAGGUCACCCAGUUGGCAAGCUGGGGCACAGAUUUUCAGAGGUUUCUGGGAUUCCAAACCCUGUGCUCUCGGGCAUUUGUCUGAGAAAACUCUCAGGGAAGGUGUGGGCUUGUCGCCCCUGGAGGCCUUCCAGCUCCGACGUUUUGAAGCCUGGCUCCCAGAUUAAACUCCCUUCGGAUCCCAUUUUCUGAAGGGUCGCAAAAGCUGGGGGCUGGGUGGGGUAAGCUAGGGGACAACAGCGGCUCCGGCCGCCGCCUGAGCCCUUCAAGAUCAGCAUCCGGUCAAGCGGCUGUGCAGCCGAGAAGCAACCCGGGACUGCAAGUCUGCGUG
rnacentral:lncRNA from 1 species